rnacentral:lncRNA from 1 species
UGAAAAGAUACUAUCUGAGGGGAGGAGUGCAGUAAGACUUUCUGAGAGGACUGGCAUUUAUAUGCUCAUCUCUGAGUGCUCCAUGGCCACAUCAGCAUCAUUCGCAGGGUCAGCGAAAGGGUAAAUUGUCAAUGCUUCCGAAAGCACCAUUAAUCUUACCAAAUGAAGAAAUAAAUGCAUCUCAAUGAUGGAUUUUUCUGUAAACUAUUAUGGAGAACCCUUGAGGUGAUUCUCACAGGAGAUAUGAAUACAGUACAGGUGGCCAGGAAAGGAAAAAAAUAAUAUAAACCAACAUGCAGGAACUACAAGAAAAAAAGAGGAAUGGAGGUACUACCCAUGAUAUUAAAAAGAGGUCCGUGGAAGAUUUCAAAAUUUAUGAUGUGUCUGGCCGCAGAUCUCUGAUUUAGUCCUACCUGGAGUUCAUUGAACUUCUUGGAUAUGUAGAUUAAUGUUUUUCAUCAAAUUUGGGCUUGAAUUUCUCAUUCAUUUGGUAGCUUAGAGUCCCAGGAUUAAGAUAUGGUGAUGCAUGGAGGGAGAACCCCACUCUGGGAAGAGAAGAGCAACAGCAUCUCCUGUCUCCCUCAGUCCAGGCUUUGUGCCAGAUUAUCUCACGGAUCCUCACAAGUACACAGCCUAGGUUGGUAUUCUUAAUACUGUUCCCAAAUAGGGACGCUAUUGCUUAAAAAGUUGUAUAAACUUGGAAAAGUUCAGUAAAUGGUGGAUAUAAGAUAAGAACCAGGAAUUUUUUACUUCAUAGUCUUCAAAAACAUCACACACAUUUCAACAUUAAUCUGCAAAAACCAAUGAAGAAGGUAAAGAAGAGUCUAUACUUGUUGAGGCCCCGUUAUGCCACAUAUUAGUCAAUAUUUCACAUGUUAUGUCAGUCCAUCUUAUCAACAACAUUGUGAGGAAUCAGAAAUAUAAAGAAGUUAAGUAAUUUGAUAAAAAUCACACUUCUAGCAAAUGCCUGGCACAUAAAAGAUGAUUAAUAUCUAUUUAUUAAGGAGAUAAAUGAAAGUAGGAGAGGCUGAUUUUAGUUCAAUGGACUGCCCUCCUGUACCUCCCUAGAUUUCCUUAGACAACUUUUUUACCUUUUUUUGGCCUACUCAAGAACCAGAUCCUAAAAUAAUUAGAUCCUUGCUUUUGUAUGGAAAGGAGAUUAGGCAAAAAAAAAUGGAUAUUGCAGAGCCAAGAGCAAUAAGCAGGAUAAGAGCUUGAAAAACCCUAUGAGGCAAAGAUAGGGUCUGUGGCAGGCAAAGUCCAUGCUUUCCACCUACAUCUACAGACUCCAAAAAAUUCACCGUUUUCUUAGUCCUAAAUUUGACUGGUGAUUUUCAAAAAUAUUUUUUACUUUCAUGAUCUCAAAAGAUUAAAGAUUCCAGAGAAGGUGGGGAGAGAACUUCAAAAGUUUGCCUCACAACUCUUUUGGAUCAAAGGGAUUUUAUUUUCCUGGCACUGAAGAACUAAAAGAUACAUAAAACGGCACAAUAUUUUAUAGGGUUCCUUAUGGAUGGGCUAUUCUUUAAAUGCUGAGGAAGGAAACAAAUAAUGCACCAGACUAUUUAAUUAAACUGUGUCUAAAAUCUGCGCUCCGCUGUAUUAGAGGCACCUCCUCAGACUUGUAAACCAGUGGGCCAAAGUCAAUUAAGAAGGACAUGUCUACAAAUGUUUCAACGAUUACCAGUUACUUGCCUCUGACGCCCUCCCCUAAUCUCCAGGACAUAAAUGGUGAACGAAAAAUCAGUCACUUGAUUUACCUCCAAGAUCAAUCUGAAGGACAAGUUUAGCACUUAAAACAACUGGUUUUGAAGAAGUGGUGACUUUCAGUUAGUAACAAUAUAGGAUACCAUGGUGAAGAAGGGAGAGAAACCAACCCAGGAUCAGAGUCAAAGCUCUUCAAAGCUAGUCCUUAUCUACCUCCCUGGCCUAUUCCCUACCACCUGGGGUAUACACUUUCUCUAUCUUCUGUGGUUCCCAAGCCAGGGACAACAGUCACAAAACACUGCCUGCCUUCGCACACAAAGUUCCCUCUGGAAUUUGAGGAUGUGACUUUCUUCCAACGAUCUAUUCUAGUUUGUGCUCCCUUCCUCCUUUCCAUGAGCCCUCUGCUCCCCAAACUAUAAAAAUGCCUUGUCCCUCCCAGCCUGGGUCUUUGUAGAUGAGGCUAUCCAUUCCUUUCAGCCUCUUUACUCUGGCCUCAUCCCAGAAUAAGAACCUAAGACACUUUCUCCCUAGAAGUCUUACCAAAUAAGUCCUACUCACUUGCCUUAAAUCUUUAACCUCUGAGGACACAGGGCAUUUUCUGUUUCAUCCAUACAGUUUCCUCCAACCAUUUUAAUUCAAGUUGCAUGCUUCCUUACUAUAGGUUUUAGGUACAGAUUUAACACCCUGUCAGUUCUUCUAUUGCCUCUUUCCAGGGUCUUAUUUUAACUUUCUGUGAUUUAAAAACUCUCUUUGUCAUUCUGAGCCCAUGUUUCUUUGUAUAAGAAUUAAUUAUGAGAAAUGACUGAUAAAAUCACUCAUUUUUGAAUGAUACAAUGGUAAUUUAUAAUCAUGGUUGAAAUGCUUGAGGUCACAUUCUACUCCAGGCUGAAAUGAUCUGGUUCUUCUUAGCAUAUUUGAUUGUGUAAUUAAUUUUAUUUAUUAGGCUUAUGUUGGUAAGUUAUAUUUAAAAGUAAACGAUUAAAACUUACGAUAAAGUCCAGAACUAACAGCUAUACCAAGAAACCAUUCUGUGUUAUACCUGCAAUCGAUGCUAUGGAAGUUAAGGAAUGUAACCCUUUGACAAAACUAGAAAUGCAUCCAUCUGUACCAGCUGGAGUUUUAGAGGAAUCCAAUAAACAAUACUUGUUGUGGACUGAAUUGUGUCCUCCCAAAAUUUGUCAAACUCCUAACCCUCAGUACCUCAGAAUGUGACUGCUUCUGGAGACAAGGUCUUUAAAGAGGUAAUUAAAUUAAAAUAAGGUCAUUAGGGUGACCCUUAACCCAAUGUGACAGGUGACUUAAAAGAAGAAGAGAUUAAGACACAGACAGAUACAGAGGAAAGAUUACAUGAAGACUCAGGAAAAUGACGCCAUCUACAAGCGAAGGAGAGAGGCCUCAGGAUAAAUCAACCCUACAGACACCUUAAUCUCAGAUUUCUAGCCUCUAGACUUGUAAGAAAAUAAAUUUCUGUUGUUUAAGUG